UACGUAGGGUGCAAGCGUUGUCCGGAAUUAUUGGGCGUAAAGAGCUCGUAGGCGGUCUGUCGCGUCGGCUGUGAAAUCCCGAGGCUCAACCUCGGGUCUGCAGUCGAUACGGGCAAACUGGAGUGUUGCAGGGGAGACUGGAAUUCCUGGUGUAGCGGUGAAAUGCGCAGAUAUCAGGAGGAACACCGGCGGCGAAGGCGGGUCUCUGGGCAACAACUGACGCUGAGGAGCGAAAGCGUGGGGAGCGAACAGG
rnacentral:rRNA from 1 species